rnacentral:rRNA from 1 species
AAUAUUGGGCAAUGGGCGGAAGCCUGACCCAGCCACGCCGCGUGAGUGAUGAAGGCCUUCGGGUUGUAAAGCCCUUUGGGGGGGGAAGAAAAAUCCGGGUUCGAAGAGGGCCUGGACUUGACGGUACUUCCUUAGCAAGCCGCGGCUAACUCGUUGCCAGCAGCCGCGGUAAGACAGAGGGUGCAAACGUUGCUCGGAAUUACUGGGCGUAAAGGGCGCGUAGGCGGAUUUGGAAGUCGGGUGUGAAAUCCCUGGGCUCAACCUAGGAACUGCAUUCGAAACUCCAAGUCUAGAGUGACGGAGAGGAGAGCGGAAUUCCCGGUGUAGAGGUGAAAUUCGUAGAUAUCGGGAGGAACACCAGAGGCGAAGGCGGCUUUCUGGACGUCCACUGACGCUGAGGCGCGAAAGCGUGGGGAGCAAACA